UACGUAGGGGGCGAGCGUUGUCCGGAAUUACUGGGCGUAAAGCGUGCGCAGGCGGUUAUGUAAGACAGAUGUGAAAUGCCCGGGCUUAACCUGGGAACUGCAUUUGUGACUGCAUGGCUAGAGUUUGGCAGAGGGGGGUAGAAUUCCACGUGUAGCAGUGAAAUGCGUAGAUAUGUGGAGGAACACCGAUGGCGAAGGCAGCCCCCUGGGUCAAGACUGACGCUCAUGCACGAAAGCGUGGGGAGCAAACAGG
rnacentral:rRNA from 1 species